AGCUUUGCGCAGUGGCAGUAUCGUAGUCAAUGAGGUUUAUCCAAGGCACGAUUAUUGCUAAUUGAAAUCACUCCCCAGGGGGGAUGACCACACCGCAAUCCCU
ensembl:snRNA U4 U4 spliceosomal RNA